rnacentral:rRNA from 1 species
UUGGAGGGCAAGUCUGGUGCCAGCAGCCGCGGUGAUUCCAGCUCCAAUAGCGUAUGUUAAAGUUGUUGCAGUUAAAAAGCUCGUAGUUGAAUUUUGGGGUCAGUAGGUCGGUCGUGCCACUGGUAUGAACUGGUUUUACUGAUUCCUCCCUCUUGAAGAACUGUAAUGCCAUUAAUUUGGUGUUGCAGGGAAUCAGGACUGUUACUUUGAAAAAAUUAGAGUGUUUAAAGCAGGCUUUAGCUUGAAUACACUAGCAUGGAAUAAUGAAAUAGGACGUUUGAUCCUAUUUUGUUGGUUUCUAGGAUUGACGUAAUGAUUAAUAGGGAUAGUUGGGGGCAUUAGUAUUCAAUUGUCAGAGGUGAAAUUCUUGGAUUUAUUGAAGACUAACUACUGCGAAAGCAUUUGCCAAGGAUGUUUUCAUUAAUCAAGAACGAAAGUUAGGGGAUCGAAGACGAUCAGAUACCGUCGUAGUCUUAACCAUAAACUAUGCCGACUAGGGAUCGGGUGAUGUUAAUUUUUUAAUGACUCAUUCGGCGCCUUACGGGAAAC